UUAUGAAACUGAAGCAUAACCCUCUGCGACAAAGCCCUACUGCUUCGGUCUUUUACGAACCGAAGCCCACCCAAACUCAUUUCAUUUCUAUCAAUUCUUCGUUGCGUCUACAUUCUUUCUUCAAAGAACAUCAUUUCUCUUCAACCACAUUUCGCGUCUCAAGGUAUUUCUUUUUCACCGAACCAUCAUAGUCUUCAUUACCUUGCACGUCUCCUCCAACACCAAAUCUUAUACUUUGUUAGGGUUUCUCUUCCAUUUCACCUUUCCUUUUGUUUUCAGCGAUUAAAAUUCAUUUUCCACCUUUCCCACUAAUUAAACACCAUUCUAUCGAUUGAUCCUUUGAUUAUCAUCAUUCUCACCGUUCAAUCUCCAUUUGGCACCGAUCAAUCGGUUCAUUUUAUGUUUCCCCCUUUCUAGGUUUCCAAUGGUCCAUUUUAGGGUUCUUCGUGUUUCUAGGGUUUUCUACCGUUCAAAUCCUAGCUUCUUGUGUUACAGUGAGUUCGAUUUCAGUUUUGCGUCCAGUUAGAGUUUUCACUGUUCUUCUUCGCUUCUUCGAUCCAUUUUAAGGUUCUUUGAGUUUUCGUCAAAUUUCGCUGCGUUUCUAUGUACGAGGAAGCUUGAGGAUGUUUGAUUCACGAUCAUACAGCUCCAAUAAAUCUUCUCCUCAGGCGUCUUCCAUCAAAUUUACUCUGAGGAUUGUGUCCUUAAGCACUUCACCAUCUAUGGUUACACACAGAAUAAGAUGACUGAUGCAGAACUGAGAAAUAUGUUAGCAGGAAUCUCACUUGUAGAAUUGAUAAAAGCUCGGUGCUUGAGCAAAAUCGCAAAGGACAUGUUAAGCGGUGUCCAUUGCUGAAACAGACUCAGUCCUUAUCUGUCCAACCUUUCUAUCAACAGGGUAUCAAUGUUGGUUCCGAUGGAGAGGAGGAAACAUCUGGGGUUGAUGAUUCAAGUUUGCCAACAAAACCAGUUUCUUCCGAAAUGAGGAGGAAUGCUUUUCAUGGAAUGAGUGUGCCUGAAUUUUUCAAGUUGAUUGAAAAGAUUGAAUUUCUUCAAGAGUCUUUGUUUAAAGAUAUUCAGGACUCAGUUCAAAUGCCAGAGGUCUGCAGCCUAUGGAUUAAAAGAGGAGUUGAAGAUAGGUAGCUAUUAGUGAAUCCUCUGAAUUUAUUUAAUGUCAAAUUCUGAUUACCUUAUCAGUUGUAAAAUAAUUUUCUCGGGAACUCCUAUUUAUGAGUUGUUCUGAUCAUGAGUUAUAAAAUAAUUUUCUGUUAAA